GCCUGGGUGGCUCAGUCGGUAAAGCGUCUGACUUCAGCUCAGGUCACGAUCUCGCAGUCUGUGAGUUCAAGCCCCACGUCGGGCU
rnacentral:tRNA from 1 species